rnacentral:lncRNA from 13 species
UUUGAAAAUGUGUUGAUAUAAAAUGAAAUAGUCAGAGCCCAGGUGAUUGGGGUAAUCCAGUAUCUCAAUGGGAAAUGUUUAGAGCAGACCAGAUUAUUCAGUGUGCAUUAGCAGACAAGUGUUCACCUCCUCCUUAGGGCUGACCUCAUCAUUUCAAACAUCUUCUCUACAUGCUGUUGUGUGAAAACCACAAAAUUAUUCAAUGAAUUGAAGACGUGGUAACAAACCUAGAGGCCUAGCCAAUGUCUUGAUUUGGUAGUGAAAUUGAGCACCUUAAGGAAUGAAAAGAGCGAUGAUUCAACACAGAGUUCCAUCUCUUUUUUUUCUUCCGGGAGAUC